rnacentral:rRNA from 1 species
AUUGAACGCUGGCGGCAUGCCUUACACAUGCAAGUCGAACGGCAGCACGGGAGCAAUCCUGGUGGCGAGUGGCGAACGGGUGAGUAAUAUAUCGGAACGUGCCCAGUAGUGGGGGAUAGCCCGGCGAAAGCCGGAUUAAUACCGCAUACGACCUGUGGGUGAAAGCGGGGGAUCGCAAGACCUCGCGCUAUUGGAGCGGCCGAUAUCAGAUUAGCUAGUUGGUGGGGUAAAGGCCUACCAAGGCGACGAUCUGUAGCUGGUCUGAGAGGACGACCAGCCACACUGGGACUGAGACACGGCCCAGACUCCUACGGGAGGCAGCAGUGGGGAAUUUUGGACAAUGGGCGCAAGCCUGAUCCAGCCAUGCCGCGUGUGGGAAGAAGGCC